GAUUAAGUUAUUAAGGGCGCACGGUGGAUGCCUUGGCACUAGAAGCCGAUGAAGGACGUUACUAACGACGAUAUGCUUUGGGGAGCUGUAAGUAAGCUUUGAUCCAGAGAUUUCCGAAUGGGGAAACCCAGCAUGAGUUAUGUCAUGUUAUCGAUAUGUGAAUACAUAGCAUAUCAGAAGGCACACCCGGAGAACUGAAACAUCUUAGUACCCGGAGGAAGAGAAAGAAAAUUCGAUUCCCUUAGUAGCGGCGAGCGAAACGGGAAGAGCCCAAACCAACAAGCUUGCUUGUUGGGGUUGUAGGACACUCUAUACGGAGUUACAAAGGACGACAUUAGACGAAUCAUCUGGAAAGAUGAAUCAAAGAAGGUAAUAAUCCUGUAGUCGAAAAUGUUGUCUCUCUUGAGUGGAUCCUGAGUACGACGGAGCACGUGAAAUUCCGUCGGAAUCUGGGAGGACCAUCUCCUAAGGCUAAAUACUCUCUAGUGACCGAUAGUGAACCAGUACCGUGAGGGAAAGGUGAAAAGCACCUCGGAAGGGGAGUGAAAUAGAACCUGAAACCGUGUGCUUACAAGUAGUCAGAGCCCGUUAAUGGGUGAUGGCGUGCCUUUUGUAGAAUGAACCGGCGAGUUACGAUUUGAUGCAAGGUUAAGCAGUAAAUGUGGAGCCGUAGCGAAAGCGAGUCUGAAUAGGGCGUUUAGUAUUUGGUCGUAGACCCGAAACCAGGUGAUCUACCCUUGGUCAGGUUGAAGUUCAGGUAACACUGAAUGGAGGACCGAACCGACUUACGUUGAAAAGUGAGCGGAUGAACUGAGGGUAGCGGAGAAAUUCCAAUCGAACCUGGAGAUAGCUGGUUCUCUCCGAAAUAGCUUUAGGGCUAGCCUCAAGUGAUGAUUAUUGGAGGUAGAGCACUGUUUGGACGAGGGGCCCCUCUCGGGUUACCGAAUUCAGACAAACUCCGAAUGCCAAUUAAUUUAACUUGGGAGUCAGAACAUGGGUGAUAAGGUCCGUGUUCGAAAGGGAAACAGCCCAGACCACCAGCUAAGGUCCCAAAAUAUAUGUUAAGUGGAAAAGGAUGUGGCGUUGCCCAGACAACUAGGAUGUUGGCUUAGAAGCAGCCAUCAUUUAAAGAGUGCGUAAUAGCUCACUAGUCGAGUGACACUGCGCCGAAAAUGUACCGGGGCUAAACAUAUUACCGAAGCUGUGGAUUGUCCUUUGGACAAUGGUAGGAGAGCGUUCUAAGGGCGUUGAAGCAUGAUCGUAAGGACAUGUGGAGCGCUUAGAAGUGAGAAUGCCGGUGUGAGUAGCGAAAGACGGGUGAGAAUCCCGUCCACCGAUUGACUAAGGUUUCCAGAGGAAGGCUCGUCCGCUCUGGGUUAGUCGGGUCCUAAGCUGAGGCCGACAGGCGUAGGCGAUGGAUAACAGGUUGAUAUUCCUGUACCACCUAUAAUCGUUUUAAUCGAUGGGGGGACGCAGUAGGAUAGGCGAAGCGUGCGAUUGGAUUGCACGUCUAAGCAGUAAGGCUGAGUAUUAGGCAAAUCCGGUACUCGUUAAGGCUGAGCUGUGAUGGGGAGAAGACAUUGUGUCUUCGAGUCGUUGAUUUCACACUGCCGAGAAAAGCCUCUAGAUAGAAAAUAGGUGCCCGUACCGCAAACCGACACAGGUAGUCAAGAUGAGAAUUCUAAGGUGAGCGAGCGAACUCUCGUUAAGGAACUCGGCAAAAUGACCCCGUAACUUCGGGAGAAGGGGUGCUCUUUAGGGUUAACGCCCAGAAGAGCCGCAGUGAAUAGGCCCAAGCGACUGUUUAUCAAAAACACAGGUCUCUGCUAAACCGUAAGGUGAUGUAUAGGGGCUGACGCCUGCCCGGUGCUGGAAGGUUAAGAGGAGUGGUUAGCUUCUGCGAAGCUACGAAUCGAAGCCCCAGUAAACGGCGGCCGUAACUAUAACGGUCCUAAGGUAGCGAAAUUCCUUGUCGGGUAAGUUCCGACCCGCACGAAAGGCGUAACGAUUUGGGCACUGUCUCAACGAGAGACUCGGUGAAAUCAUAGUACCUGUGAAGAUGCAGGUUACCCGCGACAGGACGGAAAGACCCCGUGGAGCUUUACUGUAGCCUGAUAUUGAAAUUCGGCACAGCUUGUACAGGAUAGGUAGGAGCCUUUGAAACGUGAGCGCUAGCUUACGUGGAGGCGCUGGUGGGAUACUACCCUAGCUGUGUUGGCUUUCUAACCCGCACCACUUAUCGUGGUGGGAGACAGUGUCAGGCGGGCAGUUUGACUGGGGCGGUCGCCUCCUAAAAGGUAACGGAGGCGCUCAAAGGUUCCCUCAGAAUGGUUGGAAAUCAUUCAUAGAGUGUAAAGGCAUAAGGGAGCUUGACUGCGAGACCUACAAGUCGAGCAGGGUCGAAAGACGGACUUAGUGAUCCGGUGGUUCCGCAUGGAAGGGCCAUCGCUCAACGGAUAAAAGCUACCCCGGGGAUAACAGGCUUAUCUCCCCCAAGAGUUCACAUCGACGGGGAGGUUUGGCACCUCGAUGUCGGCUCAUCGCAUCCUGGGGCUGUAGUCGGUCCCAAGGGUUGGGCUGUUCGCCCAUUAAAGCGGUACGCGAGCUGGGUUCAGAACGUCGUGAGACAGUUCGGUCCCUAUCCGUCGUGGGCGUAGGAAAUUUGAGAGGAGCUGUCCUUAGUACGAGAGGACCGGGAUGGACAUACCUCUGGUGUACCAGUUGUCGUGCCAACGGCAUAGCUGGGUAGCUAUGUGUGGACGGGAUAAGUGCUGAAAGCAUCUAAGCAUGAAGCCCCCCUCAAGAUGAGAUUUCCCAACUUCGGUUAUAAGAUCCCUCAAAGAUGAUGAGGUUAAUAGGUUCGAGGUGGAAGCAUGGUGACAUGUGGAGCUGACGAAUACUAAUCGAUCGAAGACUUAAUCAA
rnacentral:rRNA from 1 species